CCGUACUCCUACGCCCGCCUCGAGCAACUCCUCCAGAACCACUUCCUCGCGCUCUCCGCCUCCCACGCCGCCGCCGCCGCCGCCGCCUUCUUGUACAACUGCCUCAUCCACGCCCACCUGCGCCUCCCCGCUACUUCCUCCCCGCCAGGCGCCCCGCUGCGCCUAUUCUCAGCCAUGCUCGCCGCCGGCGCGUGCCCCAACGGCCACACGUUCCCUUCCCUCCUCAGGUCCGCCUCCGCCUCCGGCCCAGCCACCACGGCCCUCCACGCGCCGUGCCUCCGCCGCGGCCUCGGGGCGCGGCCGAUGGCUUCUCGCCUGUUCGCUCGUCAGCUCCUAUAGCCGAGCCCUGGACUGCUCGCGGGUGACGCAUGCAAGGUGUUCGACGAAAUGGGGAGUCGGGAUCUUGCCUCCUCUAAUGCCAUGAUUGACGUGUCGUGCCUUGCUGAGGAUCCGGAGGCAGCUAGAGAUUUUGUUUGAGCGGAUUUCGUGCCUUGCCGAGGAUCUGGAGGCAGCUAGAGAUUUUAUUUGAGCGGAUGGCGCGAGGGAUGUGGACAUGUGGUGUCGUGGACCACACUAGUCUCUGAGUUAUCGAGGAAUGGGUGCCACUGGGACGCUGUCCUCCUCCUGGAAGACGCAGGAGUAGGAGCUGUCGCUCCUGCCGCAAGUGAUCGUUCGGACAAGGUGCGCGAGGCGGAACCGCGCCUUGUCCCUGGACGUAGACAGCAGUGCCACGGCGCCUCCAACCCUGAACAGGACGUUGGAGAGCUGCAUGGCUCCGGGAGAAGUGGGGUGUGAUGGUCUCCGUGGACACCACCAGGGCGUACGCACCAUCGGGCAAGGAUUGCAGUAGGCCGGCAGCGAGCCCAACGGAGAUGACACCCGCGCUGCAAGAAGGCCUGCAAGAAGGGCCGGGUCGGCCUUCUGACCCGCUGACCCGCUCCUCAUUUUGGUACCAUUUGACCCAGCCCAUUGGCCCACCGAGUUGAAGGGUCGAGUCCAGAAUACCCAUCUGAACCCUGAGGUCCAUAGGUUCGACCCUCCUCUCUCGUGCGCUCUCUCCUGCCUCUCGACGUCUCGAGUCUCGACUCUCGACUGCCGCCGGCAACGUGGUGGCGCGUGACCCCGGCGGCCAGGCCUCCCGCGGUGGCCUCCCGCAGAGGCGUGUGACCCCGGCAGCCCGGCCUCCCGCAGUGGGGCGAGACCCCGGCGGCCACGUCUCCGCGGUAGCGUGUGACCCUGACACCUGAGCCUCCUCGUGUUGCAACGAGAUCCCGCGGUCCCUCCCCCGGCGCCAGGCCUCCCAUGACGGGCCAACUCUGAACUUCUGCUGAAUCCUGUAAGGGGGAGAUCAAUGUAGAAUAGAAUAAUGGAUUGGUAUCAACUAUGUUUGAAUUGGUUUGACCGAAGUUGGGCUUGGCUAUUUGGAUUCUAAAGCAAGAGAAUUGUGCUUUGAAUUCAAGUAAUGCAGACAGGUCAAUUUUGUAGGAGUAUAAAGAAGUUUCCAUUAGCACUUGUAUAGCUGUACAAGCCAAAUUUAGUGAUCAACUUUUCAAUUAGAAUAUACACUUCGCUUUGGUAAGUGCAGAUUUGGCAAUUGCUUCUGCUAGCUAGGAUUGAGAGAGUGUUGCUCUGAAAAAGAUGUAUGCCUUGUUUGUAUAUCUGUAUAAAGUGUACAUGCCUGGGUUAUAAUGAACCCUGAUCAUUUGGAGGCCAGCACUACUACUUCUGUAGCAUAUCUCUGAAACAUGGAGUAGGGACAUCUACAUAGAAACCCCAGGUUAUACA